rnacentral:rRNA from 1 species
AUACGUAGGUGACAAGCGUUAUCCGGAUUUACUGGGUGUAAAGGGCGUGUAGGCGGUUUAGCAAGUCAGAAGUGAAAUUCCCGGGCUUAACUUGGGCGCUGCUUCUGAAACUGCUUUACUUGAGUGCUGGAGAGGAUAGUGGAAUUCCUAGUGUAGCGGUAAAAUGCGCAGAUAUUAGGAGGAACACCGGUGGCGAAGGCGGCUAUCUGGACAGUAACUGACGCUGAGGCGCGAAAGCACGGGGAGCAAACAGGAUUAGAUACCCUGGUAGUCCGUGCUGUAAACGAUGAAUACUAGGUGUAGGGGGUAUCGACUCCCUCUGUGCCGCAGUUAACACAAUAAGGAUUCCGCCUGGGGAGUACGGCCGCAAGGUUGAAACUCAAAGGAAUUGACGGGG